UCCACACACCCAGACGUGUGAUGCUGGAAUCCAUACACGAGCCCGGGUAUUGCAUCGAUGCUUGCAGGCUCCGAGAAGAAAGGACGUGUUUGCCUCCGGGAAGAGGAUCUCUCUAGUUAGGAGCAGAGGAGAAAAAAGGCAAAAGCUGGUGAAGCUUUAGCACCUGCCUCAAGCAUAGUUCAGCUGAUGAGAAACACCAGUCAGUGCUCUCAGCAAGGGACCUGAUUCCAACCAUCACGCUUGGACUGAGACAGGUAUGAGGUGUGAAUAGCACAGUGCUUUCUCCCCUUCAUGCUGGUCAUACUCUGCUACCUCCUGAUCUUGAUGCAGGACUCUUAUGAUUCCCAUACAACCAUCUCAUAUCAAAGCCAAGUGGAUAAUACCCCAUAUACAUCAUCAUCACAGGGAAACAUUCAGGCUAGAAUCCAACAACGCAAACACCAGCCAGAAAGCUGCUGUUUUCUUCUUAACACUUGUUAUCAGUGAGCUGUGUAUGCUUGGGGAGCAAAGCACGGUGACAGUGCCUUGUCACACUGGCAAGACAGGAUCGUGUUCAGGACUGCGUAAGGUGAAGAGCACAAGAGUACAGCACCUUCAGCAGAGUGAAUCAGAACCUCGUGGGACCAGACCUUUAUCUUCUUGGUGGAUGCAACUAUCAAUUGAUAGCUCAGAGCGGAUGUUGCUGUCGUGGUCUGGUCCUUCGGUGGGAGAAAAACACCUCUGCUGCUUUGAAAAGGCGACUCCUGGAGCCUGUGGCUGGUCAUGCUGCAUGUCGAGGCACGUGAUGAGAUCUCUGGAGAGGCUGGUCACAGGGAGCUGA
rnacentral:lncRNA from 1 species